GUGAAUCAUCGAAUUUUUGAACGCAAAUUGCACUCUCUGGUAUUCCGGAGAGUAUGCCUGUUUGAGGGUCAGUUUAAAUAAAAAUCGGUGUGGUUGCUGCCUUCGUUGUGACGCACCGGAAUUUGGUCGUCUUGCCUUUGGUUAAGUGACCUAAAAUUUUUCAUGAUUUUUUUUGAACGUAUUUUAAUUAUUUUUAGUACGUUUGGGAUUACGGAUUCC
rnacentral:misc_RNA from 1 species